ensembl:lncRNA
GUUCACUAUGUAGUAUGAAACAUAGCAGGGUUCUAAAGACAACCCUGUUCACUAUGUAUUAUGAAACAUAGCAGGGUUCUAAAGACAACCAUGUUCACUAUGUAGUAUGAAACAUAGCAGGUUAUAAAGACAACCCUGUUCACUAUGUAUUAUGAAACAUAGCAGGGUUCUAAAGACAACCCUGUUCACUAUGUAGUAGGAAACAUAGCAGGGUUCUAAAGACCGACCUGUUCACUAUGUAUUAUGAAACAUAGCAGGGUUCUAAAGACAACCCUGUUCAAUAUGUAGUAUGAAACAUAGCAGGGUUCUAAAGACAACCCUGUUCACUAUGAAGUAUGAAACAUUGUAGGGUUCUAAAGACAAUCCUGUUCACUAUGUAGUAGAAACCAGUAGGGUUCUAAAGAGUGCCCUGUUCACUAUGUAGUAGGAAACAGUAGUGUUCUAAAGACAACCCUGUUCACUAUGUAGUAUGAAACACAGUAGGGUUCUAAAGACAACCCUGUUCACUAUGUAGUAUGAAACAUAGCAGGGUUCUAAAGACAACCCUGUUCACUAUGUAGUAUGAAACAUAGCAGGGUUCUAUAGAGUGCCCUGUUCACUAUGUAGUAUGAAACAUAGCAGGGUUCUAAAGACAACCCUGUUCACUAUGUAGUCUGAAACAUAGCAGGGUUCUAAAGACAACCCUGUUCACUAUGUAUUAUGAAACACUGUAAGGUUCUAAAGACAACCCUGUUCACUAUGUAGUAUGAAACAUAGUAGGGUUCUAAAGACAACCCUGUUCACUAUUUAGUAUCAAACAGUAGGGUUCUAAAGACAACCCUGUUCUCUAUGUACUAAAAACAUAAGAGAGUUCUAACUGGAACCCUGCUGACUAUGUAGUAGGAAAUAUAGUAUGGUUCUAAAGGGAACCCGGCUCACUAUGUAGUAGGAAACAUAGUAUGGUUCUAAAGGGAACCCUGUUCACUAUGUAGUGAGAAACAUAGUAUGGUUCUAAAGAAAUGAAGUGAAAAACUAUAUAGGAAAUAGUGUGCAGGGACCGUAGUUGUAGUCAGAAGUAUGAUAUGAGGAAUAGGGAGGCAACAUUGUGCACUAUAAUGAACAGGGUGCCAUCAGGUUCUGGUGAUAAGUAGUGAACUUUCUAAUAGUGAACAGGGUGCCAUCAGGUUCUGGUGAUAAGUAGUGAACUCUCUAAUAGUGAACAGAGUGCCAUCAGGUUCUGGUGAUAAGUAGUGAACUGUCUAAUAGUGAACAGGGUGCCAGGCUAACUCUUGCCAUAUAGAUGUGACAGUGUAACUAAAGGCUAUAGAAUCAAUUAAGUUCAGCUCCACAAAUUACCCUUAAGUUGAGCAGCAACUCCUGCUAGUAGACUGAAGCUCAGGUGCAUUGACACUGGAAAAUGCCAGGUCACAGUGUGGAGAUUCUGUGGUGCUAAAAUCCUUUAACAUCAGUGCCAGUCUACAAACAACUACGGUAACUAUUACAACUGGUGGAUUUGAGUUAAAUUGUCCAUUAUAUAUUGGUCAUUAUAGCAGUGGGAUCUCACUUUUCUUAAGGUUAAGUUACCCUCCACCUACAUGUAUUCUUAUGUGUGAGGAAGGAGAUAUGUCUUGAGUUACAAAGACAGACAGAGAGAGAUAGACUGACAGGCAGAGACAGACAGAGAGACAGAGACAGAGCGAGACAAACACUGCACUAUAAAGGGAAUAAAGGGUCACUAUAAAGGGAAUAGGGGGUUAUUUGAGACUUCGAUAUAAGCUGUCUCUAGUCCUCACAGUCCCCCAACAUAUCAUGCUUCUUGGCGGUAAGAGCCUAUACUGGAUCUAAGACAGCCUUUUUCAACCUUCUCCUAGUGGGGACACAGUCCAACCUUCUCCUACUGGGGACACAGUCCAACCUUCUAGUGGGGACACAGUCCAGUCUUCUCCUAGUGGGGACACAGUCCAACCUUCUCCUAGUGGGGACACAGUCCAACCUUCUCCUACUGGGGACACAGUCCAACCUUCUAGUGGGGACACAGUCCAGUCUUCUCCUAGUGGGGACACAGUCCAACCUUCUAGUGGGGACACAGUCCAGUCUUCUCCUAGUGGGGACACAGUCCAACCUUCUCCUAGUGGGGACACAGUCCAAACUUCUCCUAGGGGGACACAGUCCAACCUUCUAGUGGGGACACAGUCCAGUCUUCUCCUAGUGGGGACACAGUCCAAUCUUCUCCUAGGGGGACACAGUCCAAACUUCUAGUGGGGACACAGUCCAGUCUUCUCCUAGUGGGGACACAGUCCAACCUUCUAGUGGGGACACAGUCCAGUCUUCUCCUAGUGGGGACACAGUCCAACCUUCUCCUAGUGGUGACACAGUCCAAUCUUCUCCUAGUGGGGACACAGUCCAAUCUUCUCCUAGUGGGGACACAGUCCACCAUUUUUUCCAUCCCUGCACUGAAACUCCUGAUUCAACCUCUCACCUCACCACAGAGCCCUAGGUCAGCUGACUCAGGGGGUGGGUAUACCAGGAUCUGAAUGGAAAUAUAAGAACAUUAAACUGUUCAGGUUGCAAAAGGUUUUCAUGUAUUAACUACACCCUGGGUGUUGUAGAAAAUACCAGCUUAUAACCAAUAAGUGUAUAGUCAGAGGGUUGAAAACAACAUAAAUGGCACCCAAUGUUCUAGUGUCUAUGGUCUCUACAUAUAUAUCCUGUUCAGUAGGUCAGGGGGAGGAUGUCCUGGAUGGAGGUGACAGAUUGAACAUAGAUCAGAAUCGAUCAAUCCCAAUCUAAGCCUCUGGUUUGGAGAUACUGCCAAUACAUGUUCAUCCUUUCAUUCAUAUAUCAACUGUGUUCUUCUGCGUUGAGUUUACUAAAGGAUACCUUUUAAAAAGAAAUAACGUGAAUGUUUACAGUAUAUACUGUAUUUUAUGGUUUAGUAUUUUUUUUCUCCUGUUUUAUUCAAAGGAAAUGUGGCAUUUUGAUUCUUUAAAAUGAAA